UUUGCCCCCUGUUUCUGCUUUCUCUCUCAGUGCCUGCAAGGACUGGAUUUUCUUCACUCCAACCAUGUGAUCCAUCGAGAUGUGAAGAGCUGCAACAUCCUUCUCAGAAUGGACGGCUCUGUCAAGCUGGCUGACUUUGGCCUUCCUGCUCAACUCACCCCUGAGCACAGGAGAUAGAGCUCCGUGGCCAGCACUUCUGGGUGGAUGGCGCCUGAAGUCGUGACAGGUCACCCGUACGGCCCCAAAAUGGACAUAUGGUCUUUUGGAAUCGUGGG